rnacentral:lncRNA from 1 species
CGCCGGCGACGCAUUUCCUGAUCGGGAUACGAACCUCUAGAGAGAGAAGACAGUAGGCUAGAGAGAGAGUGAAGGGGAGAAAAUUAAAAGAGAGUGAGAACUGGAGAAGAUAAAGUUUGAGAGAGAGGAGAGAGAGGAGAGAGAGAGAAAGAAAGAGAGAGAGAGGUCUGAUGAAGGAGAAAAAGGAGGGCACGAGAAUGAGAGAAAAAGGGGGCCAACUGCCAAGAUCGAGAUUUCAAUGGCCUCUCUCGCUCGCUCUUCGUUGGCUGACGUGUACAAGGAAUGUGCUGGCGUAAGCUCCGGUGGUGCCUUUCCUCUCUCCUCAACCACGAUAUUGCUUUGUAUAUAUACACAGA